AAACUUGGCGUUGCACUCGCCUCGAGCAAGUGCAGUGCCGUAGUGAAGACGAUUAGUUUGCCGCUUGGGGAGUACGGUCGCAAGAUUGAAACUUAAAGGAAUUGGCGGGGGAGCACCACAAGCCGUGGAUGCUGCGGUUCAAUUGGACUCAACGCCGGGAAACUCACCAGGAAAGACGGCAGAAUGAAGCUCAGGCUGAAGACCUUAGCUAACAAGCCGAGAAGUGUUGCAUGGCCAGCGUCAGCUCGUGCCGUGAAGUGUCAGGUUAAGUCCUGCAACGAGCGAGAUCCCUGUGGACAGUUGCCAGCAUUGAAGCAAUUCGGUGCGCACUCUGUUCAGACUGCCCGCGUUAAGCGGGAGGAAGGAAGGGGCGACGCUAGGUCAGUAUGGCCCGAAUUUCCUGGGCCACACGUGGCAUACAAUGGUGGAGACAAUGAGUUCCGACGCCGAAAGGCGAAGGCAAUCCCAAAAACUCCGCCUCAGUUCGGAUUGGGGGCUGAAACUCGUCCCCAUGAAGCUGGAAUGGCUAGUAAUCGCGCGUCAUCAUCGCGCGGUGAAUAUGUCCAUGCUCCUUGCACACACCGCCCG
rnacentral:rRNA from 1 species